CAAUAGCGUAUAUUAAAGUUGUUGCAGUUAAAAAGCUCGUAGUUGGAUUUGUGGCGUACGGUGUGUUCCGGGCACUUGUUGUCUGAGUAACCUGCUGUUGCCAUCCUUGGGUGGAACCUGUGUGGCAUUAGGUUGUCGUGCAGGGGAUGCCCAUCAUUUACUGUGAAAAAAUUAGAGUGUUCAAAGCAGGCUUAUGCCGUUGAAUAUAUUAGCAUGGAAUAAUGGGAUAGGACUUUUUUGCUAUUUUGUUGGUUUGCGCAAAGAGGUAAUGAUUAAUAGGGACAGUUGGGGGUAUUCGUAUUCCAUUGUCAGAGGUGAAAUUCUUGGAUUUUUGGAAGACGAACUACUGCGAAAGCAUUUACCAAGGAUGUUUUCAUUAA
rnacentral:rRNA from 1 species